AAAAGCACUCUGUGUGGGGAACAUGAGAGCCAGACCAAAGCUCAGAGGAACCCACCUGGACCUCCACCCAGCUCUGUGUCCUUAAAGAGUGACCGGUCUAAACAUGCUGGUAUUUACUUUAAAUCAGGCAUGUGUCGUCCUGCAGAGAGGAACCCAUCUGGACCUUCACCCAGCUCUGUGUCCUUACAGAGUGAUGAGUCUAAAGCUGCCGCCAUUGAUUUUAAAGUCAAGCCUUUGUCUGCU